AGGUAAAGUCUACUGUACCUUUAUCACUGUAGGCACUCGGUCACGCUGUGGGUUUGCCGACCUUAGACGUUUAUCGUCGAGGGUGUGACGUGAGGGAGGGUUGAAUGCCCG
rfam:Paenibacillus sp. 32O-W, complete genome.